UGUGUCAAGUGCUGCUGUGUAGCCGGCAGUUCCCAGGAGAAGGCAAUGCUGGAGAGGACCACAGUCAUGGCACCGCCUUCACACAAGGCUGGGAAAGGGCAGCAGCCCUGGGUUUUGAGAGCUGACUUUGAGCUACCAGUGCAGGGCAUAGGCCUGGACGUGGAUGUGCUUUGCUGGGAGUCACCCAAUCCAGUCAUAGGAACUGCAAUCUUUCCUGGAGCAGCAACCUGAGCAAGGUGGAAUUGGCAGAUGUCAGCUGAAGCAAAAGCUGUGGGAAGGUCAUGUCACAAGACUGCCAGACCACUGCCACCUGGAAUCUAUCACAAGGAAUGGGUUUUUCUGGGAGAGAAUCUAUCGUUGGCAAAGGACAUGAAUCUAUUACAGGUGAUGAUAUCUACAGAAUGUAAAUUUUUAUAAAAGUCCAAAUCUCUGGCUAUCAAGAACAGAAAGACAGCUAAAGAACUAAAGUAGCUCUACAUUUUUUCCAUCCAGAUAAUUAUUCAUUGUAAGCAAACACAUUUUCUCCUUCCUGACAGUUAAUAGCAGCUUUCAAUGAUUUCAUAGGCAGCAUAAUCCUGAUGCAGAUGUGAUAGUUCAACAAUAUUUAUUUUUUGAAUGGCACCAUUUUAGCCAUUUCUUUACUAUUAAUUAUUUUUCUCAAUAGUAAGUUUAAAAUCACCCAUCACAGACUUACUGCCUGAUAAUUCUGCAAAAAGUGGACAGAAAAGUUGUUUUGCACCAGAGUGACUCUAAAUCAAUAGAUGAGCAAGUUAUUUACUCUUCUGAUAUGUAUGCUAUAGGCUGCCCAACCUCCAUUUACCUGUAUUGAUGACUUUUAGAUGAUGAAGGCUGCUUUUAAUAAGUAUUGAAAUUUCAAUUUCAGUUGUCAUUGGUGCUCCCCAGAUGUAAUUCUCCCCAUACAUGAGUAGUAUAUCCUCAUUUUUAGCAGGUAUUUUCCCUUUAUUUUUACUUGUUUCUCUAGAGAACCUGAGCAAGGAGUAAAAUGAAAGAGAAAAAAAUCAAUAGUCCAGUGUAUGUCAAUGAAAAACGAAAUAUCAGUCUGAAUAGUACAUAGAUACUGACAUGGAUUUCUGAAGUCAAUAAGUCACUUUCAAAAGUACAGUUUAAAGACUGCUUCCAAACAUAUAAAUCAACUCAAUUGCAGAGAAGCUGUAAAAUACCUAAGAGCUCAAUAUCUUUGGUUGACUUAAGCACUUAAAAGCCUACAUGUCAUUGGCUUUUAGAAAUUUAGUGGUUUCUAAACACCUAAAUCAUUUCUAUAUUUGAAAUUUGGGCUAAAAAAUCACAUAUAAAAUUCAAAGAAUUUCACCUUUUGCCACUCCAGAACAACUUUUUGGAGAGUUGGAUGCCCCAUAACCGCAGGUUUUAAGAGUUUUGUGAGACCUCUGGGUUUGUUUGGGGAAUUUUUUGUUGUUUUGGGGAAUUUUUUUGGUAAUUGGUAACAAUUUUACAAAAUCUUUUUGAAAUCUUUCUUAAAUCUUUCUGAAAUCCACAUCUGAAUUCAGAAUAAUUCAAAAAGCGCUAAUGCUGCCUUCUCCCUCCUGCCCUCUCCUUGCACAAUAGCUGCAGAAGACAGGGCCAUUGGAGAGAAUCUAAAUAUUUAUCUUUACUUCUAUGCAUCACCUGUGCUAGCAGUGAGAAAAUGGAAAUAUCCCAUAACAUUGAUUCAAAUGUUAUUUUGUGGGGCCUUUUAAACAAAAAAAAAAAAAAACACAAAAAUACCAAAACCACAAUAAAAGCCACAUGCACACACA
ensembl:lncRNA